AUGUCAUUACAAUUAAUUACAAUGAAAUCAUGGAUAAAAACUGAAUGUCAUUACAAGCCUUCAAAAAAUUGCUUCAUCAUCUACCUUGGUAGAAAACACAAACCACAAACUUUGAAAUCCUCAUUUCUUUCAUCUCAGACCCAGCACUCCUCCAUCAUCUUCCUUAGUAGGACACGCUCGCAGCCUAUACACCUUAUCCGCCUACGUUUAUCCGCCUACGUCUCAGCGCCGCUUCACAAAUUGCCCAAACAACCUUCAUUGUCCAUCAAGGAUGUCUACAAUUCACCCUCUUAUAUAUUCUGUGUUUCUGAUUUGACUCUUUUUUAA